GUCAGUGCCCCCCCAAACCCGCCCGGGCCAACCCACCCCGGGACUGGAGGGGCUGCAGGGCUUCUUGCCUUGUGGAGCCACGAAGGGCUCAGGGGGCACAGGGGGAGGCCUGGGCCCCAGAUUCUUGCUGCUGAUAGUGUUCUGGAGACGGAGCUGCCUGGCAGAAAAGUGGAAAGAACAGCUUGGAUCCUGGAGACGGGGUCAAGAAUUGUGACCUUGUCUGCAUCCUGGCGCCCCUCACGGGCCCGUGCAGCACCUCUGGGAGGGCCUUAGCACUCCAGGGCUCCCGCCCAUCGCUGCUGCGGCCUCCUCAGGUGCCAUCAUGGCCUGCAGUUGGCCCCUUCUACCUCCUAUUGCCAGAGUGUUUUUAUUUGUGACAAUAGUGACCCUACUCGAGCUCCUCCGAGAUCCAGGCCACGUCCUGAAUUCUUGCACUAGAGAAGUUUACUGACUGUGACCACAGGCCUGCAAGUGUGACCAGCCCAAAACCACAGAAGAGGAAACUGGAACCCAGACAGGUCAAGGAAGUGGCCCAGGACACACAGUGCCGUGACAAGCAGGAGAAGCUGGGAAGCCUGGCUGGAGAAGAGGCGAACCAAGCAAACGCGCUAGGAGGAGCUCCAGGCCUCCGGAACCAGGCCCCUGCAUUUGCCAGACGCAGGGCAGGGCCUUCUGAGGUCUUUUAUGUGUGGGUAUCUUUAAGCUUCUCCUCCCUCCUUGACUUUGGGAGGACAUCUGCAGGGGCAUCCUCACGGCCUUACCACGGACAGGCAGUCCCAGGUCUUGGCUGCUCAGCCAGGACCCAGGAGCUACUGCGCUGUCAGUCCCAACAGAAGGGUGGGCUCCAGGUCAAGGACUCCCAUCUGCCCACCCAGCCAUCAGAGGUUUGUGAAAACUGAGGCUCUGGCCCUCCUCUGUUCUAGAGACAUCUACCAGAAUUAUCAAGCACUGUUCCUCCAAAGCCACCGAGAUUCCUGAGAUGAAGUGAGUGUAGGGUAAAUGGAAAUCAUCAGGGGUUUCCGCCCUCCCGCCAUUAGCAUCAACUGAUCGACACCUGUGGUCUUGCACGCGUGCCUGACGCGGCACCUGGAGUAUGGAGUGGGCGUGUGUCAGUGGGCACACCUGAGCUGAGAGACCGCCUAUAAGGGCGGCAGCAGAGGACGGAGGCAGCGGAAAAGGCAGCGUGCGCUGGGGAGCGUCCGAGAACAGCUAAGAGAGGAAGGCGGAUUUGCAGAGGGGCCCAAGCUGCUGUCUCCCUGCUGGCUUGUUUCCCCUAACCCGUGGGGAUGAUGCCAAGGGCUCCAAGGUUCCCUUUCAAGCUGCCUGAACUGAUGAUGAACGCGCCCGGCCCGGGACGGCUGCAGAACAGAGAGCUAUGUUUCCAGCUGAGAUGUGAUUUGCCAAGCAAAAAACUUCAAAUUCUUUCCCCAAACUCACCAGACUGCCUUGCUGAAAAUCAGUUUGUGUUCCUCAGAAAUAACUAGGGAAUAGUUAAGAUGUGCCGAUUCCUGUCAGCCAUGUUCUACCUAAGGUAGGAAGGUCAACAACAAAAGGUCAGAUUUCAGCUUUCACUGUCUUCAAGCAACCUCAUCAACGGACCACUUUGAGAACUGAUCUAUUUCAACAGCACAAAGUACAGUAAGGUUAAAUGUUCUCUGGCUUCUAGCAAUCAUUUCAAAUCCUUAGACUUCGCUAUUCUAUCCUACACCCAGAUCAUAUGAUUGAAUUCUGUUUCAAACAUGAGGGCUAAGCUCAGAUUCUCAUUGAAAUCUUUCAUAUCUAGACAAUAGUCACAUAAUAUGCAUAGUUAUGUGAAGAAGCCUGAAAUGGCAUUUUCUAACUCCUCGGCAAUGCUGCGUGGACUAUGCUGCUACAGCUUCACCUAAACCAGUGACAAGGUGCUGGCUGAUUACUAAGAAAAUGCUCAGAAUGUGACAAGAUACAUGGAAACUGCCUCUAACUUCUCAAACAAAUGAAUGCCUCCUCAGUAUCUAAAUUCCCAGGGCAAUUCAGAUGAAACAGAUUUUUUUGUUUCUACCAUAUAUUAUAUAUUAAAAUGUACUUCUGAAGUAAAAACAUCCCUGCUUGGUUCCUUCAUACACGAUGCAAGUAU